UCUCUCUCUCUCAGAGCUCUCUGUCUACGUUUUCCUGUUGCCCAGUCACCUCUCUGACUUGACCGUCGGAGGGUCUCCGCCGGAGCCGCCUCCGGUCAGUGCGGACUUUCUUUUGCAGGUGCACGCUCUCCGGCGAUCGGGCGACGAGGCGAUUGGCCGCAACAGAUUGGCGCGCCAGGAAGGGGACAGCAUGACAAAGACAAGAGCUCAACGAUCGAGAGUCACGGGGUCGGCCAGGCGC
rnacentral:lncRNA from 1 species